AGCGAACGCUGGCGGUAUGCUUAACACAUGCAAGUCGGGCGCGAAAGUGACUUCGGUCAUGAGUAGAGCGGCGGACGGGUGAGUAACACGUGGAUAAUCUGCCUUUAGGACUGGGAUAACCCUGGGAAACUAGGGCUAAUACCGGAUAAGACCACAGGUUCCAUGGAACCAGGGGUAAAAGGCGGCCUUCGGGCUGUCGCCGAAAGAUGAGUCCGCGUCCCAUCAGGUAGUUGGUGAGGUAACGGCUCACCAAGCCGAAGACGGGUAGCCGACCUUAGCGGGUGAUCGGCCACACGGGGACUGAGACACGGCCCCGACUCCUACGGGAGGCA
rnacentral:rRNA from 1 species